AACAGGAUUAGAUACCCUGGUAGUCCACGCUGUAAACGAUGUCGAUUUGGAGGUUGUGCCCUUGAGGCGUGGCUUCCGGAGCUAACGCGUUAAAUCGACCGCCUGGGGAGUACGGCCGCAAGGUUAAAACUCAAAUGAAUUGACGGGGGCCCACACAAGCGGUGGAGCAUGUGGUUUAAUUCGAUGCAACGCGAAGAACCUUACCUACUCUUGACAUCCAGAGAACUUUCCAGAGAUGGAUCGGUGCCUUCGGGAGCUCUGAGACAGGUGCUGCAUGGCUGUCGUCAGCUCGUGUUGUGAAAUGUUGGGUUAAGUCCCGCAACGAGCGCAACCCUUAUCCUUUGUUGCCAGCGGUUCGGCCGGGAACUCAAAGGAGACUGCCAGUGAUAAACUGGAGGAAGGUGGGGAUGACGUCAAGUCAUCAUGGCCCUUACGAGUAGGGCUACACACGUGCUACAAUGGCGUAUACAAAGAGAAGCGACCUCGCGAGAGCAAGCGGACCUCAUAAAGUACGUCGUAGUCCGGAUUGGAGUCUGCAACUCGACUCCAUGAAGUCGGAAUCGCUAGUAAUCGUAGAUCAGAAUGCUACGGUGAAUACGUUCCCGGGCCUUGUACACACCGCCCGUCACACCAUGGGAGUGGGUUGCAAAAGAAGUAGGUAGCUUAACCUUCGGGAGGGCGCUUACCACUUUGUGAUUCAUGACUGGGGUGAAGUCGUAACAAGGUAACCGUAGGGGAACCUGCGGCUGGAUCACCUCCUU
rnacentral:rRNA from 1 species